AAGACUAUGCUUUCAGGGAUCAUUUCUAUAGUUUCUGACUUGGAAGUUUGAUUUGAAAGUGUAACGUCUCUCUAACCACGACGAUGAGUUAAGAUGCUUUCUUCUGAGCGUGAAUCGGGUGGUGAGCGACGAGCGAGAUUGUCUGCUCUCUGUCAUUGAUGAACGUUCCUGCUGUGCUUUGCAGUCUGGAAGAAGAAAGCAUGUUCAGAGUGGUU
ensembl:snoRNA